ACAUGCAGUCGAGCGGAUGAGAGGAGCUUGCUCCUGGAUUCAGCGGCGGACGGGUGAGUAAUGCCUAGGAAUCUGCCUGGUAGUGGGGGACAACGUUUCGAAAGGAACGCUAAUACCGCAUACGUCCUACGGGAGAAAGCAGGGGACCUUCGGGCCUUGCGCUAUCAGAUGAGCCUAGGUCGGAUUAGCUAGUUGGUGAGGUAAUGGCUCACCAAGGCGACGAUCCGUAACUGGUCUGAGAGGAUGAUCAGUCACACUGGAACUGAGACACGGUCCAGACUCCUACGGGAGGCAGCAGUGGGGAAUAUUGGACAAUGGGCGAAAGCCUGAUCCAGCCAUGCCGCGUGUGUGAAGAAGGUCUUCGGAUUGUAAAGCACUUUAAGUUGGGAGGAAGGGCAGUAAAUUAAUACUUUGCUGUUUUGACGUUACCGACAGAAUAAGCACCGGCUAACUCUGUGCCAGCAGCCGCGGUAAUACAGAGGGUGCAAGCGUUAAUCGGAAUUACUGGGCGUAAAGCGCGCGUAGGUGGUUCGUUAAGUUGGAUGUGAAAUCCCCGGGCUCAACCUGGGAACUGCAUUCAAAACUGUCGAGCUAGAGUAUGGUAGAGGGGUGGGUGGAAUUUCCUGUGUAGCGGUGAAAUGCGUAGAUAUAGGAAGGAACACCAGUGGGCGAAGCGACCACCUGGACUGAUACUGACACUGAGUGCGAAAGCGUGGGGGA
rnacentral:rRNA from 1 species